GACGAACGCUGGCGGCGUGCUUAACACAUGCAAGUCGAGCGGUAAGGCCCUUUCGGGGGCACACGAGCGGCGAACGGGUGAGUAACACGUGGGUGACCUGCCCUCAGCUCUGGGAUAAGCCUGGGAAACCGGGUCUAAUACCGGAUAUGACUCCAUGACGCAUGUUGUGGGGUGGAAAGCCUUGUGCGGCUGAGGAUGGGCCCGCGGCCUAUCAGCUUGUUGGUGGGGGAUGGCCUACCAAGGCGACGACGGGUAGCCGGCCUGAGAGGGCGACCGGCCACACUGGGACUGAGACACGGCCCAGACUCCUACGGGAGGCAGCAGUGGGGAAUCUUGCGCAAUGGGCGAAAGCCUGACGCAGCGACGCCGCGUGAGGGAUGACGGCCUGGUGUAAC
rnacentral:rRNA from 1 species